CUGGCCUGCAUCUAAGGAGAGGCCUUGCUGAGUGCUGUGGCCUCUAGCAACAGCAUGUGAGGAGGGUGAAGGAACCCUAUCAAGAAGCGGCCUGAAAAACGGCAGGUGAAUGCCUAUCCAAAAUGGCGGCCGCCUAGUGUCUGUCACACAAAAUGGCGGGUGCCGCAUUGCGAGCAGCCGAAAACGGCUCCACUAAAGGCCCCUGCUGUAAGGAGGGAGCGGAGGGCAGAAGAAAUGAAAGUGAAACAAGAAGGACAGAGAACUACUAAAGAUAUGGAUCUGUUGUGAAGCCUCUUCAGGAAUUGUUACAAGGAACUUCAAGUUUGAUUUGGACAGCAGCUGCAGAAGUCAGUUUUGAGAAAGUGAAGGGCCUGAUUGUAAUAGUCCUGCAGUCACAUUAUUUAAUCCUGCAUUACAGAUGCUUCUGAUUAUGGACUGGGAGCUGUACUUACCCAACUUCAUGGGGAUAAUAAGAAAUAGUUACAUUUUACUACUCUUACUGCAGUUACCCAAGACCAGUUUUUAGCUGCAUGUCUGGCAUGCCCAUCCAACAAAAGUUAUGGGAAUUCUUGACAGGCAGAUGGCCAAAUAAUAA